GAAGAAUGAGGACUGAGGCAUGGUUUAGCAAGGGACAUCUAUAGGAAUAGGUUGGCUUUCUUUUCUCUGUCUUGUCAGAAUGAUCUGUAGGCAUGUGAUCAUAUAUGUUUGUCUUUUUCAGGAUGUAUGGUUUCAUUGUCAUCUGAAAGGAAUCUUGUGUUCUGUCUCAACUGAAUGGAUAAGGAAUAAAUCUGAGGCCCAGACGACAAAUUUUAAAGAUGAGGCAGCCGAAGCAAGGAGGUGUAAAUGACUGGCUUAGGGUCACCGAACUGCUAUAUGAGGAGAAAGUGUUUUCCUUAGAGGACUCAAAUUCACAACAGUGCCUUAUGGAGACACAAUCAAAAUGAAGAAGAAAAGUGACACAAUUUGAGGGAUAAUUCAAAGUCCAGGGAUUACCGAGGUGAUCUACUUCUUAGAAAUGAUUAAGAAGACCUAAGUUUCAUUUCCUGGAAAGGUGAAUUUUUCCCAUUAAAGAUGUAAUUAUUCAAUCAAGAUAUUUUGACUUUUCCAUGUAGACUAAUUGUAGAAUAAACACAUUGUACUUACAUGCCA
rnacentral:lncRNA from 1 species